rnacentral:rRNA from 1 species
ACGAACGCUAGCGGCGUGCUUAACACAUGCAAGUCGAACGCUGAAGCUCAGCUUGCUGGGUGGAUGAGUGGCGAACGGGUGAGUAACACGUGAGUAACCUGCCCCCUUCUUUGGGAUAACGCCCGGAAACGGGUGCUAAUACUGGAUAUUCACUGAUCUUCGCAUGGGGGUUGGUGGAAAGGUUUUUUCUGGUGGGGGAUGGGCUCGCGGCCUAUCAGCUUGUUGGUGGGGUGAUGGCCUACCAAGGCUUUGACGGGUAGCCGGCCUGAGAGGGUGACCGGUCACAUUGGGACUGAGAUACGGCCCAGACUCCUACGGGAGGCAGCAGUGGGGAAUAUUGCACAAUGGGCGAAAGCCUGAUGCAGCGACGCCGCGUGAGGGAUGGAGGCCUUCGGGUUGUAAACCUCUUUCGCUCAUGGUCAAGCCGCAACAUUGGUUGUGGUGAGGGUAGUGGGUAAAGAAGCGCCGGCUAACUACGUG